rnacentral:misc_RNA from 1 species
AUUACCAAAUUUUUGUAUGGAAUUACGAGAUUUAUCAUAAUAAUUCAAACAUCAAUUUGGAAAAUUAAUAUUUGAUGACAUAUUACUUCUCCGAUUAAACGUUUCAUUAUAAUAAUUAAAUUGCAAUCGGGAAUAGAGUCCAUUUAUUAUGCUAUCUGUGGCGUCGAAACAAAAUGAUCGUGAUAAAUAGUUAAUUACGAUACGUCGACGGGAAAGCGAAAUAAUUUGAGUGCAUUAGUUCCAGAUGCGGUAGUGCUGUUAUUUGCGGAGGUACCUCGGUGAAUGGAAACACUAUUGUCUUGGAGAACGUGAACCCGGAGAUGAAUGCAAACAAAAAUGCGCCGAAGUAAAUCAAUCUCCGAUGUGCUACCAGAGAAUGUGUUAUUGUUACACCAAAUUAGACAACGUUGCAAAAAAGAAAAUUGAGGUGCAUAAUGAAGAAGCUCCAGUUGUACGAUCUUUAUUUCCAAAUUUAGUACCAAUAUACUAAUGAUGUAUAAUGUAACUUUAUUCGAUACUAAAGAAUAAAAGUGUUGCUCGUAAAAAGUAUUAAAAUAAUUCAUUGUAGAAGAAACUACCAGGAAAAGGAAUUUCCGCUUCCUUAAAAAAAGAUCACGCGAGUAUAAUGCAAUUAAUAUAUUCCUAUUUUUAUAGUAUUCUUAAAUUAUUGAGAAAAUGCUUGUUUUAAAUAUUCUGCGAUCUAAAAUACAUCGAUUUAUAUGCAAGGUUAGAAAGGUGGAGCAUCUACAUCUCUUUUGAUCCAUUUCCGAAAAUGUUAAAGUAUAAAUUAUCUUGUAUCACGAAUGAAUAUAAAGAUGA